rnacentral:rRNA from 1 species
CAGCAGCCGCGGGAAUACGGAGGGGGCUAGCGUUGUUCGGAAUUACUGGGCGUAAAGCGUACGUAGGCGGCUUUGUAAGUUAGAGGUGAAAGCCCGGAGCUCAACUCCGGAAUUGCCUUUAAGACUGCCGAGCUAGUAGGUGAGAGAGGUAAGUGGAAUUCCGAGUGUAGAGGUGAAAUUCGUAGAUAUUCGGAAGAACACCAGUGGCGAAGGCGGCUUACUGGCUCAUUCUAGACGCUGAGGUGCGAAAGCGUGGGGAGCAAACAGGAUUAGAGACCCCCGUAGUCCCUGUCUCUUAUAC